AUUGAACGCUGGCGGCAGGCCUAACACAUGCAAGUCGAGCGGGGCGGCGGACGGGUGAGUAAUGCCUAGGAAUCUGCCUGGUCGUGGGGGAUAACGUCCGGAAACGGGCCCUAAUACCGCAUACUAUCAGAUGAGCCUAGGUCGGAUGAGCUAGUUGGUGGGGUAAAGGCCUACCAAGGCGCCGAACCGUAACUGGUCUGAGAGGAUGAUCAGUCAAACUGGAACUGAGACACGGUCCAGACUCCUACGGGAGGCAGCAGUGGGGAAUAUUGGACAAUGGGCGAAAGCCUGAUCCAGCCAUGCCGCGUGUGUGAAGAAGGUCUGCGGAUUGUAAAGCACUUUAAGUUGGGAGGCGUUACCUGCAGAAGAAGCACCGGCUAACUUCGUGCCAGCCGCCGCGGUAAUUC
rnacentral:rRNA from 1 species